rnacentral:rRNA from 1 species
UACGUAGGUGGCAAGCGUUGUCCGGAUUUACUGGGCGUAAAGAGCGCGCAGGCGGUUGAUUAAGUCGAAUGUGAAAGCCCCCGGCUCAACUGGGGAGGGUCAUUCGAUACUGAUCAACUUGAAGGCAGGAGAGAGAAGUGGAAUUCCCGGUGUAGUGGUGAAAUGCGUAGAUAUCGGGAGGAACACCAGUGGCGAAGGCGACUGCUUGGCCUGUUCUUGACGCUGAGGCGCGAAAGCUGGGGGAGCAAACGGG